ACAGUAAAAUGGCGGUUUUGCUCUUGCUCUUUUCCUUCAAUUACAGUCUGCCAUCCUUCUACAAUCUUCUCAUUCAAUUGCUGCCAGAACAAUCCAGAGAGAUUAUGAACGAUGGAGAGAGAGAGGGAGUGUGUGUGUUUCUUUGCUUUGCACGAAGAGAUAAAGAGAGAUCAUCAUCUCAGCAAGAGGUCGGUUGCUCUUUGUCACGAGAGUGAUCGGAGAGGUUUGUAAUUGGUGGUUUGUAUCAAAUCUCUUCUCAGCUUUCAUCACCAACUCUAAAAACUUGGGUUCAUCAUCCGCAAGGUAAUUAGUUGAGAGGAUUCUGGGUGUUUUCUCAUCUUUGGUUUUGGGUGACAAGCUAUUUAGUUGUACCCCGGACACUCAGAGAGACAGAGAGGAGGCAAAGUUAAGAGAAAAGAACAGGAGAAGAAGACGAUGGCGUUCAUAGGCUAUCAGUUUAGUUGUUUUUGUCCUUUCAACAACUUGGCCUUUGGAAUCUUCAGUUGUUCAAUUUGAUCGUGUGGACACUUUGUAUUUGACCCGGAGGGCGGCGUGAUGGAGGAGUUGAGAAGCCUGAGGGCAUAUUGUGGAGUGCAAUGGUUGCGGGGUCGUUUUCCAUUGAGCAAAAAACAAGUAUUGCACGUGGGUCCGUCGGCUAGACUUAAUGAGAAGAAAGCAAAGGCCUGCAGAUUCGGUUUCAAUAGUCCACUCUGGACUUUCACAGUCAACGUGCAGAAUGCCCAGAAGAAUGCAAAGUCUUGUACUUGCAGCAGGUCUUGUCGGCUUUAAUUAAACAAUAUUGCAAACAAGACUUGUGAUUGUUAAUUAAACAAUGCAGCAGCUAGUAGACAAGUGGGCUAGUACUUUAAUCAAACAAAGGUAUGCGGCAAUAAUCUGAUUUCCAGGGAUUGUUUCGGACUUCGAGAUUUCGGGAUUUGGGAGUAACUUGACUUCAAUGGUUUGUGAUGCUCUACGGGAUUCGGGUUUCAAAAGAGUACGGUGCAGGUUCAAAGAAUUGAACCUGGCUUUGAUACCAAGUAGAAAAUAAUAAUUCAAUACGUUUGGAAUGCUUCAAUAAUAUUCACCCCCAAGAAUAGGGUUCAUAAAGUGAUAC